GACGAACGCUGGCGGCGUGCUUAACACAUGCAAGUCGAACGAUGAAGAAGAGAAACGCGAACUUCGGUUCAAAUUUCACUUCGGAUUAGUGGCAGACGGGUGAGUAACGCGUGAGCAACCUACCUCUUACAAAGGGAUAGCCUCGGGAAACCGUGAUUAAUACCAUAUGACACAUUCAUAAGGCAUCUUAAGAAUGUUAAAGCUACGGCGGUAAGAGAUGGGCUCGCGUCCCAUUAGCUAGUUGGUGAGGUAACGGCCCACCAAGGCGACGAUGGGUAACCGGGCUGAGAGGGUGAACGGUCACAUUGGAACUGAGACACGGUCCAAACUCCUACGGGAGGCAGCAGUGGGGAAUAUUGCAAAAUGGAGGGAACUAUGAUGCAGCGACGCCGCGUGAGCGAUGAAGGAAUUCGUUUAGUAAAGCUCUGUUCUAUGGGAAGAAAAGGACUGUACCAUAGGAGAAAGCCCCGGCUAAAUACGUG
rnacentral:rRNA from 1 species